rnacentral:rRNA from 1 species
AUGAACGCUAGCGGCAGGCUUAACACAUGCAAGUCGAGGGGCAACACGGGUAGCAAUACCUGGUGGCGACCGGCGCAAGGGUGCGUAACGCGUGAGCAACAUGCCCUAUACAGGGGGAUAAUCCAGGGAAACUUGGUCUAAUAUCCCAUAGUAUUUAGAGGUGGCAUCACCACUAAAUUAAAGCUUCGGUGGUAUAGGAUUGGCUCGCGUGACAUUAGCUGGAUGGUGGGGUAACGGCUCACCAUGGCGAUGAUGUCUAGGGGUUCUGAGAGGAAGACCCCCCACACUGGGACUGAGACACGGCCCAGACUCCUACGGGAGGCAGCAGUGAGGAAUAUUGGACAAUGGAUGGAAAUCUGAUCCAGCCAUGCCGCGUGCAGGAAGACGGCCCUAUGGGUUGUAAACUGCUUUUAUAUGGGAGCAAUAAGGUUUACGCGUAGACCGAUGAGAGUACCAUAUGAAUAAGCAUCGGCUAACCUCCGUG